AUGGCCGGCGCGGCCUUCCUCGGGAGCCGCGAGGGCCACGACACCCCAAGCACCGUCCUGCUCGACCUCUUCGGCUACGUCGGCCCCAGCCGCAGCGCCACCACCGCCACGUCCAAGACGAGCGCCGGCCUGCCCAUCGCGGUGACCUUCUGCGCCCUCCGUCCGCCAGUCCUCUCGUACUUCUCCGUCGACUGCGCCGCGUGCCCGGAACCCAAGUCCCUACCCCUGGCGCCCCAGGUCAUCGCCGCGGACGCCGACCUCGUCCUCCUCCGCGUCCCCGUCGACCGGUCGGCCAGGUUCAGCGUCAGGUUUUGCGACUACUUCGUCUACACGGCGCACUCCCGACGCCCAAGGCUGGACCUGCUCCCGACGUCCGCUCCCCAUCGCUUUGCAUUUCAAGACCGGGAGAUGGCCAUACUGAGCUGCGGCGACGGCAGUUACGCCGUAGCCGCCCUCCAAACCCUCGGCAAGUUCACCUUCACGCUUCACCUGUACCGCUCUGGGCCCGACGGCGAGCAAGGGGCUUGGACGUCCAAGGUCGUUGAGGUGGAGGAGCCGCUGAGGGACAAGGUGUGCCCGACGACCCCUCCCUCGUCGCCGGGGCUCUUCCACCACCAUACAAACAGCGUGAUCACGCUCGGCGGCGCCAAAGGCACCGUCGGCUGGGUGGAUCUCUGGCGAGGCAUCGUCCUCUGCGACGUGCUCGAGGAGAGCCCCAAGCUCCGCGACAUGCCGCUGCCAUUGCCCUCCAAGGGCAACCGGAACGUGUACCUCGACGGCUGCCCCUACUACUCUCGCAGCCUCGUCGUCAACCAGAGCAAGGACACCAUCAAGUACGUGGAGAUGGAGAUCUACCAAGCCAAACCGCUCACGCCCGAGGACAAGGCAUAUCAUGAAUGGCUGAGCCAGCAAGAAUGCCCGAUGUACUUCUUGAUCCCUAGCCCCUGGAAGGCCACCACGUGGAGCAUGCCGGUCCCGGUCACCUCGUGGGAGGGCUGGCAGCCUCGAUGCUCCGCCCGCUCGGCGGAAAUCGACAUCCCUCCCGACGUCGCCAUGCGUUAUAAGCGGCUGCGCACAGACAAGGAGGGGGGAACCUUGUCCUCCCUGCGACGCCUGCGCAUGUCUUACCCCACCAUGAGCGUCGCCGAUGAUGAUGAUGAUGUCGUCUACAUUUCUGCGAGGGAGGGCACCGAUAUGUCGACGGUGCUCGCCGUUGACAUGAGGAUGCAGACUCUGCGUGGAGUUGCCAAGCUACCAGACCACCACCACGGUUUUUUGCGCUGCUUCUUUGCUACCGGGAUCUCCAAACAUCUCAACACUACUGGCAGUACAAGUGAGGAAUCCCUUGAGCAGACUCAGGCGCAAGAUGCAAAUGUUUGUCAUCAAGUGCAUGAGUUUGCUUGA
rnacentral:rRNA from 1 species